UUUCGAACGCGUUACACUACAGGCGGAAAUGAAACAAGCGCCAAUCGAUUUUUAUAUACGCACUUUGGCAACCGUGGUUGCGCCAUUUGCAAAAUAUUUGUUCGUCAUGGCAAUGGCACACAAAUCGACAGAAUAAUCAGUUUCUGUUGGGGAAAACAGGCCUACUGAGAGUAUCUCUUAGCGUACAAAGGGCCGCGAGAAUCAUCUAGAACAAUGGGUACGCAACUAAACGAAGAAUUCUCCUUGCCAGAAGACCAAUUUCCUAUGGCCGAGGAUUUUGACGUAUCUGAUAAUAUUUUACUAGGAGAAACAAAUGGCAAAUUGUGUAGCGAGCCUCUGGAGGGUGCUCUGCUUGGUGACCCAGACAAUUGUGGAAUGUGUGGCGGUAAACUGGUAACGCCGCGCAUGCUCUACUGCCUGCACGUGUUCUGCGAGCAGUGCUUGGAGAAAAAGCUGAUCGGUGACGCAGGUGACGCGGGCAGCCCGAAUGCGUCUAUCGUUUGCCCGACCUGCGGCUUCGAAUCUCAGGUGGGGGUUAAGAAAAUCUCGGCGCUGCUCCUCGACGUAACGAAGACGAACGUGUCGGACGUGUCGCACACGUCGACGUUAACGUGCACGUCGUGUACCGCGAAAGAAGUGGCGAAGUCUAAAUGCAACACGUGCCACAACCUGCUGUGCGCGAAUUGCGACUCUGCGCAUCACUACAUGCGUUGCUUCGAGUCACAUCGUGUCGUCGAACUCGAGGACAUGCGCAAGCGCGGUGUCAAGAUCACUAUACAUAAGCCGCUCGACUGCGACGUUCAUCCCGGCGAGAGCGUCGCAUUCAACUGCGCGGUAUGCAACAGUCUCAUAUGCUGUGUGUGCGCGAAGACCGAGCACAUGGGUCACCCGACGGAGGGCGUUUCUGAGUCAGAGGUGCGCGUGCGCCAAGAGAUGGAGAGUCUGCUGACGAAGAGCAAGGACCGGCUGGAGAAGCUAGCCAAGUGCGCGGCCGGCCUCGACGCCAACAUGGAGGAGCUAGCGCAUCAGCGUUCCUCCGCCAGGGACCUGAUCAACGAAUCGUACCAAAGUUACAAGGCUGUAUUGGAGAGGCGCCGCGACGCGGCCCUCGACGAACUGAACGAACUGUACCAUGAGCGGGAGCUGAAAAUUAUGAAGCAGUCGGACGAGAUGGGACGCGCGAUCGGCAACCUCGAGGACGCUUGCCGGUACACUUCGCGCCUCCUCGACACCGGCACCGUCUUGGAGAUGAUGUAUCUGCGGCAAAUCAUCGCGUCGCGGCUUCUCACACUGAAUUCAAGUUCGCCCAGAGCGGAGGCGUCGUUCAGCGUCGAGUUCAAGAGUGAUUUUGACAAUUUUGAGAAGAUGGUCGGCAAGCACUUUGGCGUUUUCCUUACCGAGACGGCAGUCGUUGUCGGCGCCGGGUCGCCGAUGCCCAGUCCCGGCUCUCCGGAAUCGAUUGCAGCGCCAAUGCUGAACGGGACUACGGUUGCGUCAAAAACGGCAUCGUUAGCGAAUGGCGGCAGUCCGAUAUCGUUACCAGCAUCGAUGCAGUCGUCGUUCGACGGCGCCGAUAUCUCCAAUAACCUGCCGCCCAAUUUCGGGUUGACGCAGAGCCCGCCGCCGUCGCAGUUGCCUUCGCACAUGUCCGGCGCCGCCCCCACGUUGCAGGGUUUCUCGAGCAUUGCCGAGUUUAAUCUCGCGCAGCUCGCCACCCUCGCAGAAAAUUCGAAUAGCGCCGGGACGUCGCCGACACCGCCGUUCAAUUUUGUCGACAUUCUGACGAACGACACGGCGUACAAGAAUUUGGCAUCGCUGGCGAAGAUUGGACUCAACGCGGCCGAUGCGAAUCAGACGAUAACGAACGGUAGCAACAUGCUGGUGCGUUCAACUUCGGUCGCAUCCCUUAACCUGGGCAACAACUUGAUGAAUGGUUUCGGCGGGGUGUCGACGUCGGCGUCACCGCUCCUGUCGACGCCGGACGACAUCAUACAGGAUCCUACGCUCGGUACCAUGCUGCCCUCCGGUGGCAACAAUCCAAACCCGGCCGUCAACCGCGGCAAUAAGGUCAGCCCGAUGCAGAUCCGCUGCAAGUUUGGUCAGCUGGGGCCCGGAAAGGGCCAGUUUAACUCACCCCAUGGUUUCUGCCUCGGUCUGGAGGAGGACAUCAUCGUCGCCGACACGAACAAUCAUCGGAUACAGAUAUUCGAGAAGACGGGCUCGUUCAAGUUCCAGUUCGGCAUACCGGGCAAGGACGAGGGCCAGCUGUGGUACCCGCGCAAGGUAGCGGUGAUGAGGAGUACCGGCAAGUACGUGGUGUGCGAUCGGGGCAACGAGCGAUCCCGCAUGCAGAUCUUCACGAAGAACGGGCACUUUUUGAAGAAGAUCGCGAUCCGUUACAUCGACAUCGUCGCGGGUCUCGCGGUCACCGGCCAAGGGGAGAUCGUUGCCGUCGAUAGCGUCAGCCCCACCGUCUUUAUCAUCCACGAGAACGGCAACCUGUUGCGUUGGUUCGAUUGCAGCGACUACAUGCGCGAGCCGUCCGACAUCGCCAUACACGGCAAAGAGUUUUACGUGUGCGACUUCAAAGGCCACAACGUCGUCGUGUUUAACGACGAUGGACAGUUUUUGCGACGCAUCGGCUGCGAGAACCUGACCAAUUUCCCGAACGGCAUCGACAUAUCCGACGCCGGCGACGUCCUUAUCGGCGACUCGCACGGCAACAGGUUCCACGUCGCGGUGUUCGCCCGCGACGGCUCCCUCAUCUCCGAGUUCGAGUGUCCCUACGUUAAGGUGUCCCGUUGCUGCGGCUUGAAAAUCACAUCGGAGGGAUACGUGGUGACGUUGGCGAAGAAUAAUCACCACGUGCUCGUCCUAAACACGCUAUACAUCUUGUAGGGUCGUCACCACCAACACCACCACCACCACCGCCGCCACGGGGUAGAUUUGAUCUCGCACUGUACAUAGUACCGAACUGAUUUUUAUUUAACGCAUUGAUUUGUCGUUUAAGUUUUUCGAUCGAUUUUUUUCGAGAUGUUUGUCGAAAAAAUAGAGCGAGAGAGAAAGAGAGUGCGCGCGUGCGCACUCGAGAGCGCGAACAAUGAGAGAGAGAAGGCGAAUAGAACCGGUCGGCCGGAGUAUGUUAUCCAGCCGCGGGCAUUUAAAAAAACAUAGUAUUACGCGUAACCUUUGCGUUUGCAUGGAACCACGCCCCCUACGGAUCUGUGAUGCCGCACAAAUGAACGACCAAUCUGGAUCGACGUGGCAAGAGUUCAAAAAAUACAUUGGAAAAUAAUCGCAGAUGGCGUUUGUUCUGCGGGACCCCUGUCGGUAACAAUCACCUCGUGAAUAGUAGUAGUCGCGCCCCAGCCACCACCUUCCUACGAUUAAGUACCUCUCGUUUCUCUCCGCUUGACCUUUUUCUCGCGAAAAUUCGUCGUACCUUUUUCGAACUUAUCGAUAACGGUAAUUAAAUAGAAAAACAAAAAAAAUGAAAACAAAAAAACUAGUUAAAAGUGAAGAAUGUUCAAGAGUUGCUUCAGUAUUUUUAGAUAAUAUUAGAUACCUUGUUCUUAUAUAUCUAUACAUCAUACAUUCUUUAUCUAAUAUUAUAUACGUAUUAUAUCCUAUUUAUAUUUGUGAAGGUUUUAAGUACUCUAACGUGCUAAUAAUAACGUUUGAUAAAAUAUUAUUGAAUGACACCUAACGAUUUUUGCUAUACGCCGGAAUAUAUAUACGUUAGUUAUUGGUAUUGCCUUAUUGGUUUAAAUCUCUGUGGUUAUUCAGGGUGGCAAGAGCGCCAUAACACGUGGGCUCAUAUUUUUCGAAAUGUUUUUUAUUUAAAUUGUACUAAAAGGUUGUUUUCAUUUGUAAUAUUGGUUUAUAAUGAUAUGAAUAUAACUCAAAAUCAUU